UACGUAGGGUGCAAGCGUUGUCCGGAAUUAUUGGGCGUAAAGAGCUCGUAGGCGGUCUGUCGCGUCGGCUGUGAAAACCCGGGGCUCAACCCCGGGCCUGCAGUCGAUACGGGCAGACUAGAGUGCGGUAGGGGAGACUGGAAUUCCUGGUGUAGCGGUGAAAUGCGCAGAUAUCAGGAGGAACACCGGUGGCGAAGGCGGGUCUCUGGGCAAUAACUGACGCUGAGGAGCGAAAGCGUGGGGAGCGAACAGG
rnacentral:rRNA from 1 species